rnacentral:rRNA from 1 species
CGCAUAUCCCCUGCGGGGGAAAGAUUUAUCGCCUUGGGAUGGGCCCGCGGUCGAUUAACUAGUUGGUGUGAUAAUGGCGCACCAAGGCGACGAUCGAUAGCUGGUCUGAGAGGAUGACCAGCCACUCUGGGACUGAGACACGGCCCAGACUCCUACGGGAGGCAGCAGUGGGGAAUAUUGGACAAUGGGCGCAAGCCUGAUCCAGCCAUGCCGCGUGAGUGAUGAAGGCCUUCGGGUUGUAAAGCUCUUUCAGGUGGGACGAUGAUGACGGUACCGCCAGAAGAAGCCCCGGCUAACUUCGUGCCAGCAGCCGCGGUAAUACGAAGGGGGCUAGCGUUGUUCGGAUUUACUGGGCGUAAAGCGCGCGUAGGCGGUCCUGCCAGUCAUAGGUGAAAGCCCAGGGCUCAACCCUGGAACGGCCUUUGAUACUGCAGGACUUGAGUUCGGGAGAGGGGCAUGGAAUUCCCAGUGUAGAGGUGAAAUUCGUAGAUAUUGGGAAGAACA